UACGUAGGGUCCAAGCGUUAAUCGGAAUUACUGGGCGUAAAGCGUGCGCAGGCGGCUUCGCAAGUCAGACGUGAAAUCCCCGGGCUUAACCUGGGAAUGGCGUUUGAAACUACGGAGCUGGAGUGUGGCAGAGGGAGGUAGAAUUCCACGUGUAGCGGUGAAAUGCGUAGAUAUGUGGAGGAAUACCGAUGGCGAAGGCAGCCUCCUGGGACAACACUGACGCUCAUGCACGAAAGCGUGGGGAGCAAACAGG
rnacentral:rRNA from 1 species